AACAAUUAAAAGAAGCAAAUCUUGAAGUUGUAUCUUCACCAGAAGUUUCAGGUUCAGGUCAGGAGCCUAUGAGAAUAACGAAAUCAUCUGGGGGCUCUGAUCGUAAGAGGAUUCCGUCGUCCCUUUUUGCCAGUAAGCCUGGAACGUCAUUGGAAUGGAGUGUUACUUCAAAUGAAUCACUGUUUAGUAUUCACAUGGGAAAUAACAGCUUCUCAAAUUAUCAAGCUUUCAUGCUAUACAAAUCCGGAGAACUUACCAAGCUCGACGAUAUGCACAAUACCCCACCAAGCUUGCUUCCUGUCCUCGUAGAGCAGACUCUAGAAAAGAAGAUGGAGGAAAUGAACAAGGGCUCAAAAGUGGCAGAAGAAAAACCAGUUGAACCUGCAAAAAUGGAACCUGAAUUCUCAGUCAAUAACAGCAAGACAAUUCCAGAGGAAACUAAGAAAAAUGUCUGUCAGGAAAAGGCCACUCCUGAUGACCUCAGGAACUCAUCCAGCAGGACUCAUUCUUUUCAUUUCCCAGCGUAAUUAAGUUACCCAAGUUUCUUGCUUUCCAUCUGCCAAUGUUUUCUUGAAGCUAACACAUUUCUG
rnacentral:lncRNA from 1 species